UACGUAGGGUGCAAGCGUUAAUCGGAAUUACUGGGCGUAAAGCGUGCGCAGGCGGUGAUGUAAGACAGUUGUGAAAUCCCCGGGCUCAACCUGGGAACUGCAUCUGUGACUGCAUCGCUGGAGUACGGUAGAGGGGGAUGGAAUUCCGCGUGUAGCAGUGAAAUGCGUAGAGAUCGGGAAGAACAUCUGUGGCGAAGGCGGCCAGCUGGGCUGUUGCUGACGCUGAUGCGCGACAGCGUGGGGAGCAAACAGG
rnacentral:rRNA from 1 species